AUUGAACGCUGGCGGAAUGCUUUACACAUGCGAGUCGAACGGCAGCACGGGGGCAGCCCUGGUGGCGAGUGGCGAACGGGUGAGUAAUACAUCGGAACGUGCCCAGUCGUGGGGGAUAACGUAGCGAAAGUUACGCUAAUACCGCAUACGAUCUGAGGAUGAAAGCGGGGGACCUUCGGGCCUCGCGCGAUCGGAGCGGCCGAUGUCAGAUUAGGUAGUUGGUGGGGUAAAGGCCUACCAAGCCGACGAUCUGUAGCUGGUCUGAGAGGACGACCAGCCACACUGGGACUGAGACACGGCCCAGACUCCUACGGGAGGCAGCAGUGGGGAAUUUUGGACAAUGGGCGCAAGCCUGAUCCAGCCAUUCCGCGUGCAGGACGAAGGCCUUCGGGUUGUAAACUGCUUUUGUACGGAACGAAAAGGCUCUGGCUAAUACCUGGGGCUCAUGACGGUACCGUAAGAAUAAGCACCGGCUAACUACGUG
rnacentral:rRNA from 1 species